UUUCUUGAGAGUUUGAUCCUGGCUCAGGACGAACGCUGGCGGCGUGCUUAACACAUGCAAGUUGCACG
rnacentral:rRNA from 1 species